rnacentral:snoRNA from 1 species
AAGACUAUACUUUCAGGGAUCAUUUCUUUAGUUGUUGAUUUGAGAAAUGUGUUUCGAAAGAGUUCGGUCUCGCUGUCCACAAUGAAGAAUUCAGAUGUUUCCUUCAGAGCAGAAAACUGGUGGGAAGAUUUUGUUUCUUCUUCAUUAUUGAAGAUUGUUCAGAGUUUCUGAAAGACUCUCUAAAGGAGGAAACAUGAUCUGAGUGGA